UACGAAGGGAGCAAGCGUUGUUCGGAAUUACUGGGCGUAAAGGGCGUGUAGGCGGUCUAGUAAGUCAGAUGUGAAAGGCCUGGGCUUAACCCAGGAAGUGCAUUUGAAACUGCCAGACUAGAGUACGAGAGGGGGUAGUGGAAUUACGAGUGUAGAGGUGAAAUUCGUAGAUAUUCGGAAGAACAUCGGUGGCGAAGGCGGCUACCUGGCUCGAUACUGACGCUAAGGCGCGAAAGCGUGGGGAGCAAACAGG
rnacentral:rRNA from 1 species